ACGAUUAAAUCACGCUGAAACACCGGUUCUCGUUCGAUCACCGAAGUUAAGCAGCGUAGAGCCAGGUCAGUACUUAGAUGGGGACCGCUUGGGAACACCUGGUACUAUA
rnacentral:rRNA from 1 species